rnacentral:lncRNA from 1 species
UUUUUCUAAUUAAUAUAAAACAUAUUAUAUCUUAGUUUGUUAUUUUUGUCUAGUAAUAUAAUAUACAAACAAAGUAACAUAAUAUUCCGUGCUUUGCACUUAUCCCCCUGCAUGCCAUAGUAAGUAAAGUAAAUAGUUAGUAGGUUAACACAAGGUUUGUCCUCGUCAUAAAGGAUGGUUCAAGCGCUUCCCCUUUAGGGGAACAAACUUCGUCGUCCCAAGGCAUCCCCUUUGGUUAUCCCUUUUUGUUCCCCAUCCCCUUUAGUUCAUCCCCGAAGGNGAACAUCCCCUAAAGUUCCCCUUUAGGGGAAGAACUAAAGGUGUGUUCCCCUUCUUCCCCUAAAGGGGACGGAGUCCCCUAAAGGGGAAGAAGAAGAGACUUUGGGGAAGAACUAAAGUUCCCCUAAAG